rnacentral:lncRNA from 1 species
AAAAUACAAGGGAAUAAUACGAUAAAUAAAUGGUCUCGUUGUAAGGUAGCCCAAGAGAAAGCCUUGUGUGUGCAUUGUGUCCUAAGCUAACAAGUGGAUAAUUGAAUUACAAAGCAUGUCCUCAUAGGGUAGUGCCAUGAAUGCUCUCUUGUAAUAAAAGAUUACAAGUCCAUGAUGCCCUAAGUCAAGCAUAGGUUAAUCACUAAAGUCUAAGUCCAAUCAAGGGUCCUAACAGGUCCUCUAAGUCUCAUUCUUUAAGUGUCACAAACAAGAAUAUUGAGUUUUUUUGGUCUUUUCCAUUUUUAUCAUGUUUUUG